GCCUCCGUGGUGUUCAACGGCAGCACACGCCCGUCGUACGGCCGGGGAGCGGGUUCGACUCCUGCCGGAGGCU
rnacentral:tRNA from 1 species